UUAACUGAAACCAAAGUAAGAGGUAUAUUACUGUUAAUAAUAUAAUUGAACAUCAAUUCCAGUUAAG
rnacentral:tRNA from 1 species